AACGAGGCCGACCUGCGGCUGAGUUACCUGCGGAAGGAUCAUUAUUGAUUUUUAAAGGAUGUGCUGGCUCUUCUGGAGCAACGUGCACUCCUAACAAAAAAAAAUCCAAUAUCCACCUGUGCACCUUUAGUAGGCAGGAGAAGACCUUACUCAAGGGCUUUUUUUCUUGUCUAUGUUUUCUAUCAUAAACCCAUGAUCCAUUUGAAUGCUUUUACAACAAAUAAUAUUUUGUAACACAAC
rnacentral:misc_RNA from 1 species